GACGAACGCUGGCGGCGUGCCUAACACAUGCAAGUCGAGCGGGGAUUGUGGAGAGCUUGCUCAAAGCAAUUCUAGCGGCGGACGGGUGAGUAACGCGUGAGCAACCUGCCUCAAACAGGGGGAUAACGCAUCGAAAAGAUGUGCUAAUACCGCGUAAGACCACGGAGUCACAUGACUCAGGGGUCAAAGGAGCAAUCCGGUUGAGAUGGGCUCGCGUCCGAUUAGCUAG
rnacentral:rRNA from 1 species